AAGCAGAGGAGCUGCGUUGCAGAAUAUUGCCUGUUUCUGGGCACAGCAGGGGGGAAAUUAUCUACCUCUUGGUCAUAACGUUUCUUGAUCUGAACAUCUGAUGUAGUUGCUGAGGCCUGUACACUUGCCUGGAAAUGCAUCUCACAGAGAAGUGAAGGGUACAGCCAUGUACUGGAGGGCUUGACAUUCUCUGGCUAUUCUUGGUUCAAGUAAUCUGGAAAUAGCUUAAUGGAUUACUGUAAAAAUGCUGGAGAAAAACAGCCUUUUAACGGUUUCUCUCGAAUGCAGAGGGCUUCAGGGGUGGGUAUAGGUUUUGCUUCCCAAUUUGUUAUUUGCUAUCUCUGGUUGUAGGAAAAUCAAAGGAAAGGCAAGCCCUGGAGAGGCCGCCUCUGUAGCAAAGUAACGUGGAGCAUUUUCUGUAGGCAUGUGCAGUCAUGGUACAGGAUGUGUCUUGAGUUCAUGUUUUUUUUUUUCCUCCAGAACAUCUGCCUUUCCCUCCUUCAUCCGUCUGCGGAAUCAGGCCCCUGCUUGUGAAGAGCCCGGCAGAGGGCCAUGAGCAAGAGAGAGUCCCCGAGGCAGGGGGUUGUAGCACUGCAACUUGCCUGGCAGCUGGUAAAGCAGCCCGCAGAAAUUGGGAACACCUUAGUGAUUCACACAUCCUCGCAGCAGCUCCUGCCAGCAGAGCCGCUGGAGAGGCCCCAGCAGAGGCAGAGGUGGAUUCCACCCUAGAGAUUUUGCAAGUACACGGAGAUCAGUGUUGGUGUGACUUUGUCAUUACCUCGUCAGUUUAGGAAUUAUUUGCUGCAUCACAUAUGAAAUGAUCCCAAGCCUACACCCUGUAGCUUGCAGAGUACACGAGAUGUUCUCCUUGGACUGUGGUUGUUGAAAUGGAACAUCUGCAUUUCCAAGAGCGACCAAACCCUCCGAAUCAAAGGGCUGUGGUAAUAUAUAGCACAAAAUGAGUGAAAGUAAACAUGAGUGUAACGUUGUUGUAGCAUGUAUUUUUGCUUUAACCCUACAUACUUCUCAUUAGAAAACAAAAACAAAGAUGUAGGCAGCUGUGGACAAGAAAAAGCAAAAUGUAAAAUGCCAUUUUUUUUUUUCUCCGAAUAAAGCAAGAUAGCAAGUAGUAAAUAUCCAAGAUCUAAUAGCUCAA